UACGUAGGGGGGCAAGCGUUGUCCGGAUUUAUUGGGCGUAAAGAGCUCGUAGGCGGUUUCGUAAGUCGGGUGUGAAAACUCUGGGCUCAACCCAGAGACGCCACCCGAUACUGCGAUGACUAGAGUCUGGUAGGGGAUCGUGGAAUUCCUGGUGUAGCGGUGAAAUGCGCAGAUAUCAGGAGGAACACCAGCGGCGAAGGCGGCGAUCUGGGCCAGUACUGACGCUGAGGAGCGAAAGCGUGGGGAGCGAACAGG
rnacentral:rRNA from 1 species